GGCGAACGCUGGCGGCGUGCUUAACACAUGCCAGUCGAACGGAAAGGCCCCUUUGGGGGUACGUGAGUGGCGAACGGGUGAGUAACACGUGAGUAACCUGCCCUUGACUUCGGGAUAACUUCAGGAAACUGGGGCUAAUACCGGAUAGGAAUCCUUGCUGCAUGGUGGGGGUUGGAAAGCUUCGGCGGUUUUGGAUGGACUCGCGGCUUAUCAGCUUGUUGGUGGGGUAGUGGCUUACCAAGGCUUUGACGGGUAGCCGGCCUGAGAGGGCGACCGGCCACAUUGGGACUGAGAUACGGCCCAGACUCCUACGGGAGGCAGCAGUGGGGAAUAUUGCACAAUGGGCGGAAGCCUGAUGCAGCAACGCCGCGUGCGGGAUGACGGCCUUCGGGUUGUAAACCGCUUUCAGCAGGGGCGAAGCUUGUGGUGACGGUACCUGCAGAAGAAGCACCGGCUAACUACGUG
rnacentral:rRNA from 1 species